GCGGGUAUGGUGUUUAACGGCAGCAUAACAGCCUUCCAAGCUGAUGGUCCGAGUUCGAAUCUCGGUAUCCGCUCCA
rnacentral:tRNA from 1 species